AGCCUUCGGUGAGUUAAUUCCAUUCGAUGGUGAGUUGCGUCAUUUACUGUGAACAAAUUAAAGUGUUUAAAGCAAGCAAAUGCUGUGAAUACAUUAACAUGGAAUAAUAAGAUAGGACCUACAGUCUAUUUUGUUGGUUGCGAUUUUAGGUAAUGAUUAAUAGGGAUAGUUGGGGGUAUUCAUAUUCAAUUGUCGGAGGAGAAAUUCUUGGAUUUAUGGAAGAUGAACAACUGCGAAAGCAUUUACUAACGAUGUUUUCAUUAAUCAAGAACAAAAGUUAGGGGAUCAAAGAUGGUUAGAUACCAUCGUACUCUUAACCAUAAACUAUGCCGACUACGGAUCGGACCAUGUUAUUUAUACUACAAGU
rnacentral:rRNA from 1 species